AACGCACAUUGCGCCUAUUGGUAUUCCAAUAGGCAUGCCUGUUCGAGCGUCAUUUAACUCUUCAAGCUUUGCUUGGUGUUGGGCAUUGUUCGCCUUUGCGAACUCGCCUUGAAUACAUUGGCAGCCAACAAUUGGGUGUUGGAGCGCAGCACAUUUUGCGUUCUUGACCUUAGUAGCUGGCGUCCAGAAAGCUUAUUUCAACGUUUGACCUCGGAUCAGGUAGGGAUACCCGCUGAACUUAA
rnacentral:misc_RNA from 1 species